GACGACGCAACGCCGCGUGGAGGAUGAAGGUCUUCGGAUUGUAAACUCCUCGUUGCCCGGGACGAAUGGCUCCAACCUAACACGUUGGAGUGUGACGGUACCGGGUGAGGAAGCCCCGGCUGACUCUGUGCCAGCAGCCGCGGUAAUACAGAGGGGGCAAGCGUUGUUCGGAAUUACUGGGCGUAAAGGGCGCGUAGGCGGCCUUCUAAGUCGAACGUGAAAUCCCCGGGCUCAACCCGGGGACUGCGUCCGAUACUGGAAGGCUUGAAUCCGGGAGAGGGAUGCGGAAUUCCAGGUGUAGCGGUGAAAUGCGUAGAUAUCUGGAGGAACACCGGUGGCGAAGGCGGCAUCCUGGACCGGUAUUGACGCUGAGGCGCGAAAGCCAGGGGAGCAAACGGGAUUAGAUACCCCGGUAGUCCUGGCCCUAAACGAUGAAUGCUUGGUGUGGCGGGUAUCGAUCCCUGCCGUGCCGAAGCUAACGCAUUAAGCAUUCCGCCUGGGGAGUACGGUCGCAAGGCUG
rnacentral:rRNA from 1 species